CUUAGUGGCGGACGGGCGAGUAACGCGUGAGCAACCUGUCCUUCAGAGGGGGACAACGGCUGGAAACGGCCGCUAAUACCGCAUGACAUAUCCGGAUGGCAUCGUCUGGAUAUCAAAGGAGAAAUCCGCUGAAGGGUGGGCUCGCGUCCGAUUAGCUAGUUGGUAGGGUAACGGCCUACCAAGGCGACGAUCGGUAGCCGAACUGAGAGGUUGAUCGGCCGCAUUGGGACUGAGACACGGCCCAGACUCCUACGGGAGGCAGCAGUGAGGGAUAUUGGGCAAUGGGGGAAACCCUGACCCAGCAACGCCGCGUGAGGGAAGAAGGUCUUCGGAUUGUAAACCUAAGUAGUCAGGGACGAAGAAAUGACGGUACCUGAAGAGUAAGCUCCGGCUAACUACGUGCCAGCAGCCGCGGUAAUACGUAGGGAGCGAGCGUUGUCCGGAUUUACUGGGUGUAAAGGGUGCGUAGGCGGGCUGUCAAGUCAGAUGUGAAAUACCCGGGGCUCAACUCCGGGGCUGCAUUUGAAACUGAUGGUCUUGAGUGAAGUAGAGGCAGGCGGAAUUCCUAGUGUAGCGGUGAAAUGCGUAGAUAUUAGGAGGAA
rnacentral:rRNA from 1 species